AAGGAUAUAUACGGAACAGUUUCAACAGAAACUGACGGAUUAACGUGACAUAUUGUAUUCAGUUUUGAAUGCUCAUUCGAGUAUUCAUGAUUGUACCUUGAAAACUAGAUAAGUAAGUAAUAAAUAGAUUUUACCAAGCAAAACCGAGUGAAUUAGAGUUUUAAAAGCUUUAUUCAUUUAAAUGAAUCGCUAGUAAUCGAUUUGCCGAUGGCAAAGAAGAUUACUCACAUAAUUAAUAACGU
rnacentral:misc_RNA from 1 species